AUACCCCAUUAUACUUUAUUGAAAAUUGAAUAAGCCAGAGUAAUAAUAGGUAUGACCUUGAAAUUCAUAGAAUUUGGCGGUACUUUAAUCUUAUUAGAGGAACCUGUUUUAUAAACGAUAAACCACGAAAAAUCUUACUUACUUUAAGUAGUUUGUAUACCGUCAUUAUUAGAUAAUUUUUAGAGAAGAAAUUAUUUUAAUUAAUAGAAUUAAAUAUAUUAGAUCAAGGUGCAGCUUAUAGGUAAGAGAUAAAUGGGUUACAGUAGAUUGUUCUUAAUGGAUCUAGGUUUUAAAUAAUUUAGUGAAAUCGGAUUUAAUUGUAUAUUUAAUUUAAUAAGUUAAAUAGGAAUGAGCUCUAAAGUGCGUACAUAU
rnacentral:rRNA from 1 species